CGGCUUUCUGUUCAACUGCGUGUUUCUGGCGCCACCUGCUGGCUGUUCAGGAGACGACGCGCUGGGAUCCGACAUUGCCGCUUGUGUAACUGUCAUUGGAUGGGAUUUUGAAUGUUAAUGCCUGACUGGGUACAUACACUGUCCAUCAAAUGAAACCGGAAGAAAGGUUACAUAUCAAAACAAUGUGUAAGGAAGUAUAGUGGUGUGUCCUUACCGAGCUGUUACGCCAUGCCAACUUCCCCGGUAAAGACUCGGAUCCCGCUCACGAGCUUCGGUCAUCUGAUCACCGAGGUGAAGAGACAGUUGUUUGGUAUGGAGGCUCCAGCUACUGUUAACCUGACUGGCUGGAGGAGACAUUUCAACAGCUACACACUACAGGGCCGACGCAACGUAAGAUAUAUACACACACACACUCACACUCACACACACACACACACACUAGCUGCUGCUGCCAUAGCUCUAGAAGAGUAUUAUACUGUUGACAUAACCUCUCUCUUUCUCUCUUUUUCUCUCUCUCUAGUUUGUCCUGGCUACCUAUGGUGUCCUAGCGUUGUCAGCAGCAGCCUAUAUGAUACACAAACGGAGUAAAGAGGACCCCAGAGUAGCCAGCCCCACUGCCUGACUGACACCCUCUCUCAAUGUCCAACGUUUUAUUGACCUGAUAUUCACAUUGUUUUCCAAUACUACCAAAUCAGAGAUUCAUAACAGCAGCGCUCUCCCUCUCUUCCACUCUCACUCUCUCCCUCCCUCUCUCCCUCCCUCUCUUCCGCUCCCUCCCUCCCUCUCGCUCUCUCUCUCAAUGUUAAUAAAUAGAAUUUAAUCCAGUCACGAUGUCUCUGUGUCGUCUUGGUUUAAUCUC
rnacentral:lncRNA from 1 species